AACGAACGCUGGCGGCAUGCCUAACACAUGCAAGUCGAACGAGACCUUCGGGUCUAGUGGCGCACGGGUGCGUAACACGUGGGAAUUUGCCUCGGGGUAUGGAAUAACUCAGGGAAACUUGAGCUAAUACCAUAUAAUGUCUUCGGACCAAAGAUUUAUCGCCCUGAGAUAAGCCCGCGUAGGAUUAGCUAGUUGGUGGGGUAAAGGCUCACCAAGGCGACGAUCCUUAGCUGGUCUGAGAGGAUGAUCAGCCACACUGGGACUGAGACACGGCCCAGACUCCUACGGGAGGCAGCAGUGGGGAAUAUUGGACAAAUGGGCGAAAGCCUGAUCCAGCAAUGCCGCGUGAGUGAUGAAGGCCUUGGGUUGUAAAGGUACUCUUUACUUCGGGUACCGAAGUAAU
rnacentral:rRNA from 1 species